CAGCUUGCAGCCCAUCAGAGGCUGGAGUGGAGACCCAACUUGCAGCCCAUCAGAGGCUGCAGUGGAGACCCAGCUUGCAGUCCAUCAGAGGCUGGAGUGGAGACCCAGCUUGCAGGCCAUCAGAGGCUGCAGUGGAGACCCAGCUUGCAGUCCAUCAGAGGCUGCAGUGGAGACCCAGCUUGCAGUCCAUCAGAGGCUGCAGUGGAGACCCAGCUUGCAGUCCAUCAGAGGCUGCAGUGGAGACCCAGCUUGCAGCCCAUCAGAGGCUGGAGUGGAGACCCAACUUGCAGCCCAUCAGAGGCUGCAGUGGAGACCCAGCUUGCAGUCCAUCAGAGGCUGCAGUGGAGACCCAGCUUGCAGGCCAUCAGAGGCUGCAGUGGAGACCCAGCUUGCAGUCCAUCAGAGGCUGGAGUGGAGACCCAGCUUGCAGUCCAUCAGAGGCUGCAGUGGAGACCCAGCUUGUAGUCCAUCAGAGGCUGCAGUGGAGACCCAGCUUGCAGUCCAUCAGAGGCUGGAGUGGAGACCCAGCUUGCAGUCCAUCAGAGGCUGCAGUGGAGACCCAGCUUGCAGGCCAUCAGAGGCUGCAGUGGAGACCCAGCUUGCAGUCCAUCAGAGGCUGGAGUGGAGACCCAGCUUGCAGUCCAUCAGAGGCUGCAGUGGAGACCCAGCUUGCAGUCCAUCAGAGGCUGCAGUGGAGACCCAGCUUGCAGUCCAUCAGAGGCUGGAGUGGAGACCCAGCUUGCAGUCCAUCAGAGGCUGCAGUGGAGACCCAGCUUGCAGGCCAUCAGAGGCUGCAGUGGAGACCCAGCUUGCAGUCCAUCAGAGGCUGGAGUGGAGACCCAGCUUGCAGUCCAUCAGAGGCUGCAGUGGAGACCCAGCUUGCAGUCCAUCAGAGGCCAGAGUGGCUUGUUACCAUGGGCGGGAGGACGUGGCCUCUAUGCAGCCCCUACUGCUCUCCUAUUUAUACAAACUGGCGGCACCUGCUGUUCUUUUGCUUAUGUGAACUGGCUGCAUAUGCUGAACCCCCGUUUACUCUAACUCCCUGUUCUCCUGCCACAGUUUGUUGAGUGUGGAAUGCUUGGACCCCAGCUUGUAAAGUAACCUUUGUUUCUUUGGG
rnacentral:lncRNA from 10 species